UCCCGGUUCUCCCCGCUGCGGCCCCUCCCCCACCCCGAGCCGCCCGAAGGGGAACAGCCCGGCAGCCCUCCCGGUGCUUCUCUGCUCAGCCCCAGGCCCCGGGGCUCGGGGACGAUCGGCCCCUCGGCCGUCUGAACCGUGAGGCUGUUUCAGCACGUCCUUCCCCCCGCGUGGCUCCAGGGGACCCACAGGGAGCCGGCGCGCUCGAGAGAGCAGCCCCCGCAGAAGAAAUGCGGCGGUGGCGUCGUCCACUGGGGGCGCAGUCGCCCUGAAGCCGCCCUGGCGGGUAGCCACUCCGCCACCGACCGCCGUUCCCGCCGCCGUUUCUCGGGCCCGGCGGACCCGGCGGACCCGGCGGACUGCCGCGCAAGUGAAACUACGACCCCGACCCCCGCGUCUACGGCUGCCCCGGAGCGGCGCUCGCUCAGGCUCCCAUGUCAGCAGAGACUAAGACCUGGACCGUGUCACCGAGUGCAGCCCUUGCAAACUGGCUGCUUUACCACCCACCGCAACCGGGAGACUGUGUGCCUGCCGGGUGCCGAGUGCUGGGAGGGAUUUUGUGGGUCCUCAAACGGUCCUACGUACCGCGUCCUGCCAUCUGCGGGCAGUGCAAAGGCUCCUCCUCCCUCGGAUUUGCUUGCUGUUUGUCUCUGUCUCCCGUGACCGCUGUUGUUCGGACCCCCAGUGCUCUGGGGCAGGGAGGUGGUGGUCCCUUCUGCCCAGCCCCUGCUGCCCUCUCUCUGUGCACAGCAGGUCAGGAUGGGGA